rnacentral:misc_RNA from 1 species
AAAAUGCGAUACGUAAUGCGAAUUGCAGAAUUCAGUGAAUCAUCAAAUCUUUGAACGCAAAUUGCGCUCUCGGGAUAGGCCUGGGAGCACGCCUCUUUGAGUAUCGACUCCAACACAACUCGCAAGCGUGCUUUAUUGCAAGCCUGCGGAAACUGAGCCAUUCUCCGCUGUCAAAAGCGAAGAUGCUUUAAAUGCCGCGAGUGACAUGGGUUGCUAGCGGACAGCAAACUCUGUCUCUGGUGACGAGGAUAACUUCACAUUCAGUUGUGAACCCUUCCAUCGUGACUAUUGAGACAAGCAGGGAGCAGGGAGCUGGCACCAAAUGUGUCACGGACCUUCUUUCGAUUGGGCGCUUUGCGGCGCUUGACCGCGAGAAACCUUACUUUUGAACUAGAUCUCA